GACGAACGCUGGCGGCGCGCCUAACACAUGCAAGUCGAACGGAGUUAUUUCAGCUGAAGCUUUCGGGUGGACGCAGGAAUAACUUAGUGGCGAACGGGUGAGUAACACGUGAGGAACCUGCCCUGGAGUGGGGGACAACAGUUGGAAACGACUGCUAAUACCGCAUAAGCCCACAGCACCGCAUGGUGCAGAGGGAAAAGGAGCAAUUCGCUUCAGGAUGGCCUCGCGUCCAAUUAGGUAGAUGGUGAGGUAACGGCCCACCAUGCCGACGAUUGGUAGCCGGACUGAGAGGUUGAACGGCCACAUUGGGACUGAGACACGGGCCCAGACUCCUACGGGAGGCAGCAGUGGGGAAUAUUGCACAAUGGGGGAAACCCUGAUGCAGCGACGCCGCGUGGAGGAAGAAGGUUUUCGGAUU
rnacentral:rRNA from 1 species